UUUAAUUAUGCAAGAUGAUGCAAGAUGCCAUCAAAGACAGGGCGGCGGCCUGUUUAAUAAUCGCUGCUAGGAGGUGAUUUUGGGAGGCGCCCACAUUCUUUUAGUAUUUUAUAGGAAGUGUAUAAUUUGGUAACUAAGGCAAACACCAGAAAAAAAACUUACUAGUGUAACGGACUCGCUGACACUCGAUUUGACCAUGGAUGCAUGUGCACUGCUCUACGUUGCGAAGAGAACUUCUCGGGACACAGACACUCAAAUGCUAGCUUGUGUGGGAUGCAGGUGCCUCCGUUGUGACACGGCUUUUCCUUACAUGGAUUGAUGAUUCUUCGUGACGUGUGGACGGAGCCUGAUACGUAAAAUGCAACAGUUAAAAUGUACACAGUUAAAGAUGUAAAGAUAUGAACAUUUCAUAUCAUGAGGUAUUGUGACCAAAAUUAUCAGUUUUUAUUAUCAUAGUAUUGUGAAUGUACUCAAAAAUUAUACAUUGUUUUGUGAAUUACUUAGCAUUUCAUUGAAGCCGCUUUUAUACCCAAUCAUGGCACCCACCUGUUCCCAAUUAGCCUGCACAACUGUGGGAUGUUCCAAAUAAGUGUUUGAUGAGCAUUCCUCAACUUUAUCAGUAUUUAUUGCCACCUUUUCCAACUUCUUUGUCACGUGUUGCUGGAAUCAAAUUCUAAAGUUAAUGAUUAUUUGCAAAAAAAAAAUGUUUAUCAGUUUGAACAUCAAAUAUGUUGUCUUUGUAGCAUAUUCAACUGAAUAUGGGUUGAAAAGGAUUUGCAAAUCAUUGUAUUCCGUUUGUAUUUACAUCUAACACAAUUUCCCAACUCAUAUGGAAACGGGGUUUGUAAGAUGGACUGAUGCAAAGUGGAAAGGUGUUCUGUGGUCUGACGACUCCACAUUUCAAAUUAUAUUCGGAAACUGUGGACUUGGUGUCCUCCGGAACAAAGAGGAAAAAAAACAUCUGGAUUGUUAUAGGCGCAAAGUUCAAAAGCCAGCAUAUCUGUGAUGGUAUGGGGGUGUAUUAGUGCCCAAGGCAUGGGUAACUUACACAUCUGUGAAGGCACCAUUAAUGCUGAAAGGUCCAUACAGGUUUUGGAGCAACAUAUGUUGUCAUCCAAGCAACGUUAUCAUGUACGCACCUGCUUAUUUCAGCAAAACAAUGCCAAGUCACGUGUUAUAACAGCGUGGCUUCGUAGUAAAAGAGUGCAGGUACUUUCCUGGCCCGCAUGCAGUCCAGACAUGUCUCCAAUCGAAAAUGUGUGGCGCAUUAUGAAGCGUAAAAUACGACAACAAGACCCCGGACUGUUAAACAACUUAAGCUGUACAUCAAGCAAGAAUAGUAAAGAAUUCCACUUUCAAAACUUCAACAAUUAGUUUCCUCAGUUCCCAAACGUUUAAUGAGUGUUGUUAAAAGAAAAUGUGAUGUAACAGGGGUGAACAUGCCGUUUCCCAACUACUUUGGCACGUGUUGCAGCCAUGAAAUUCUAAGUUAAUUAUUAUUUGCAAAAAAAAAAAAUGUAUGAGUUUGAACAUCAAAUAUCUUGUCUUUUUAGUGCAUUCAAUAGAAUAUGGGUUGAAAAGGAUUUGCAAAUCAUUGUAUUCCGUUUAUAUUUAUAUCUAACACAAUUUCCCAACUCAUAUGGAAACGGGGUUUGUAUGUAUAGAUGUAUGUUUGUACAGUGAAUCUGCGUAUGUAUGUACGUUUGUAUCUAUGUACAAUAUUUUUGUCUCCCAACAAAACAAGGGACCAGCGCACAACCAACCAGCACCCAAGCCAGCGAGAGACCACUCCCCACACUGGCAGAAGGAAGACGGGUCAUCUCACCCCGAGGACCCCAGACACACCCGCAGCCGGAGGGGAAAACCUGCUACGCCCCAUCAGAAACUGAGACCCCAUGAGCCUAACACCCCCUGGGAAGGACAGGGAAGCACACCUGGGCUGCUCCACCCCAAAUGGCCACAGUAGGACCAUCCAGCAUGAAGCCACGAGAACCACCAACCCCACCCCCAGAGGAACCCCAACAGUGGAGAUGGGACACCCAGCAUCUGCCUUGGCAAAGCCUCCCCGUGAAUGAAAAGAAAUGAAGUAAAUAAAUUAAUUUAAAAAAUAAAAAGAACAAAUAAGAAGAGAGAAAUCGGUGGACAUAUUGCUUUGUCCUUGGUCUACUCAUGUUGUUUGUACUUGGUCUAGAUUUUUGUGUGACAUUUAAAAUGACUAUAGUUUUGUGUCAUGUCUGUUAUCUGCUUUUUUUCUACAAAAUUAAACAACUGCAUGAACAUCC